GACGAACGCUGGCGGCGUGCUUAACACAUGCAAGUCGAACGGAAAGGCCCUGCUUUUGUGGGGUGCUCGAGUGGCGAACGGGUGAGUAACACGUGAGUAACCUGCCCUUGACUUUGGGAUAACUUCAGGAAACUGGGGCUAAUACCGGAUAGGAGCUCCUGCUGCAUGGUGGGGGUUGGAAAGUUUCGGCGGUUGGGGAUGGACUCGCGGCUUAUCGGCUUGUUGGUGGGGUAGUGGCUUACCAAGGCUUUGACGGGUAGCCGGCCUGAGAGGGUGACCGGCCAUAUUGGGACUGAGAUACGGCCCAGACUCCUACGGGAGGCAGCAGUGGGGAAUAUUGCACAAUGGGCGGAAGCCUGAUGCAGCAACGCCGCGUGCGGGAUGACGGCCUUCGGGUUGUAAACCGCUUUCGCCUGUGACGAAGCGUGAGUGACGGUAAUGGGUAAAGAAGCACCGGCUAACUACGUG
rnacentral:rRNA from 1 species